rnacentral:lncRNA from 1 species
AAUUGAUUUAAAACAAGAAUGUGUCCAAAGUACACGAAUGCCCCACUCGCACUAUCAUUUUCCAUGUUCAAUGGACCGUGAAAUUAGAUUCAAAAUAUAAUUAGGCAUUAAAAUUAGAAAGAUAAUAUCAUAGGGAACAUGUGUACUUAGUUUCAAGUUGAUUGGACUUCAACUUCAUCAAAAACUACCUUGACCAAAAACUUUAACCUGAAACAUGCACUUU